UGGCUCAAAGGUUAAGAGCACUGGCUGCUGUUUCAGAGGUCCUGGGUUCAAUUCCCAG
rnacentral:tRNA from 1 species